GUCUUUUUGAGUUAUUUUUAAAGUCUGACCUGCCCACUGAAAUUUUUAAAUGGCCGCAGUAUUCUAACUGUGCAAAGGUAGCAUAAUCAUUAGUCUUUUAAUUGAAGGCUGGUAUGAACGGUUGGACGAGGUAUAAGCUGUUUCAUAUAAAUUUAUAGUAGAAUUUUAUAUUUUAGUCAAAAAGCUAAAAUAUUAUUAAAAGACGAGAAGACCCUAUAAAUCUUUAUAUUUUUUUUUAUUUAAAUUUUUUGGGUUUAUUUUAUUUUUAUAAUAGAAAAUAUUUUGUUGGGGUGAUGUUAAAAUUUAAUGAACUUUUAAUUAUAAAAAAUCAUUAAUUUAUGAGUUACUGAUCCAUUAGUAGUGAUUAUAAGAUUAAGUUACUUUAGGGAUAACAGCGUAAUUUUUUUGGAGAGUUCAUAUCGAUAAAAAAGUUUGCGACCUCGAUGUUGGAUUAAGAUAUAAUUUUAGGUGUAGCCGCUUAAAUGUUAAGUCUGUUCGACUUUUAAAUUCUU
rnacentral:rRNA from 1 species